UCUUAUAUUACUUUCUUAACGUAAUAGAAAUUGAACCCGCAUGAGUCCUAAUUUUCACCUCUCACCAACCAUGAUGUUAGGUUGAAGAGGAAGUACUGCCCAUUCUCCUUAAAUGCUUUGUGCUUUCGCGUUGCAAUCAUGGCCCAUGUGUUGCUAUUGUUCCCCUGGAUACAGAACUUUUAAAGGGUUCAUAGCAUGUUGUUGUUGUUGUUUACCCAUAAAGCAUUCAUCACUCGAUGCGUACAACGACUAUGCCCGCCUUAGCCCUAUCUGUAACUAAUUCGGACGGGGCUCAUGUAGUGCCAGCAUCAAGAAAGAAUACUACCAGGUUGAUCCCACCAGUAGUCAUAUGCUUACCUUAA
rnacentral:misc_RNA from 1 species